rnacentral:sRNA from 12 species
AAUGAUACUUCCCUAACCUGACUGAAAGGGCCCGCGACGUAGGAGCAGCGGGGGAAUGCCUGCCGUGUUUGAAAAAGAAUACGGCCGGAUUUC